rnacentral:sRNA from 1 species
CUUUUGCAGACCGCGUUAAGGAUUGAAACGACAUCCUUUUUAACUUUUUUGUUAAAAAGAUAUAGUGUAAAGCCUGACUUUAG